GAUGAACGCUGGCGGCGUGCCUAAUACAUGCAAGUCGAGCGAACAGACUAGGAGCUUGCUCCUCUGACGUUAGCGGCGGACGGGUGAGUAACACGUGGAUAACCUACCUAUAAGACUGGGAUAACUUCGGGAAACCGGUGCUAAUACCGGAUAAUAUAUUGAACCGCAUGGUUCAAUAGUGAAAUACGGUUUUGCUGUCACUUAUAGAUGGAUCCGCGCCGCAUUAGCUAGUUGGUAAGGUAACGGCUUACCAAGGCAACGAUGCGUAGCCGACCUGAGAGGGUGAUCGGCCACACUGGAACUGAGACACGGUCCAGACUCCUACGGGAGGCAGCAGUAGGGAAUCUUCCGCAAUGGGCGAAAGCUUGACGGAGCAACGCCGCGUGAGUGAUGAAGGUCUUCGGAUCGUAAAACUCUGUUAUUAGGGAAGAACAAAUGUGUAAGUAACUAUGCACGUCUUGACGGUCCCUAAUCAGAAAGCCACGGCUAACUACGUG
rnacentral:rRNA from 1 species